AUACGGGAGGCAGCAGCUAAGAAUCUUCCGCAAUGGACGAAAGUCUGACGGAGCGACGCCGCGUGGAUGAUGAAGGCCGAGAGGUUGUAAAAUCCUUUUCUUGGUGAAGAAUAACUAUAAGAGUGGAAUGCUUGUAGGAUGACGUUAGCCGAGGAAUAAGCCCCGGCCAAUUACGUGCCAGCAGCCGCGGUAACACGUAAGGGGCAAGCGUUGUUCGGAAUUAUUGGGCGUAAAGGGCGUGUAGGCGGUUAUGUAAGACUGAUGUAAAAUACAUUGGCUCAACCAAUGAAUUGCGUUGGUAACUGCAUAGCUAGAGUUCAGGAGAGGGAACUGGAAUUCCAGGUGUAGGGGUGAAAUCUGUAGAUAUCUGGAAGAACGCCAAAGACGAAGGUAAGUUCCUGGCCAUGGACUGACGCUGAGGCGCGAAAGCGUGGGGAGCGAACAGGAUUAGAUACCCCCGUAGUCCU
rnacentral:rRNA from 1 species